CAUUUAUAUUGAAAUGUAAAAACGAUUUUAUGUCAAAAUUUUAUUUCAGAAAAUUCUAAUUUAAACUAACCCAUUUUCAUGCCUGCUUCCACAGUCUCAAAGAAACAUUCUUCGGCAUGUGCAUCCACAGUAAUGAAAUAACAAUUUGCACUACAGCUCAAAAAUAUUAGAAAUAAACAGGAAAUGA